GGAUUGCGCGGUGCGACGGGGCGGCACCACCUGACUGUAAAUCAGGAGUCUCUGACGUAUCCAGGUUCGAAUCCUGGGCAAUCCACCA
rnacentral:tRNA from 1 species